UAAGUUACUAAGAGCACACGGGGGAUGCCUAGGCUCUCAAAGGCGAAGAAAGACGUGAUAAGCUGCGAUAAGGUUCGGGGAGGAGCAAAUAUUUUAUGAUCCGGACAUUUCUGAAUGGGGAAACCCGUCUGGUUGAAGACCAGACAUCCGAAAGGAGGCAAACGCACUGAACUGAAACAUCUAAGUAGGUGCAGGAAGAGAAAACAAUAGUGAUUUCCGUAGUAGCGGCGAGCGAAGUGGAAAUAGCCCAAACCGUUUUUGUUUCGGCAAAACCGGGGUUGUAGGACUACAAUAUCCGUAAUAGAGUAUAGUGGAACAAGUUGGAAAGCUUGGCGAUAUAGGUGAUAGCCCUGUACACGAAAUGCUUUAGAAGGUAGUAGUAUCCUGAGUAGCGCGGGACAUGUGAAAUCCUGUGUGAAUCUGCCAGAACCAUCUGGUAAGGCUAAAUACUCUUGAGAGACCGAUAGCGAACUAGUACCGUGAGGGAAAGGUGAAAAGAACCCUGAAUAAGGGAGUGAAAGAGAACCUGAAACCAUACGCUUACAAGCGGUCGGAGCACGUUUACGUGUGACGGCGUGCCUUUUGCAUAAUGAGCCUACGAGUUACUCCUCACUAGCAAGGUUAAGUUUGUUGACAAACGAAGCCGCAGCGAAAGCGAGUCUGAAUAGGG
rnacentral:rRNA from 1 species